GGUUAAGUUAGAAAGGGCGCACGGUGGAUGCCUUGACACUAGGAGUCGAUGAAGGACGGGACUAACGCCGAUAUGCUUCGGGGAGCUGUAAGUAAGCUUUGAUCCGAAGAUUUCCGAAUGGGGAAACCCACCAUACGUAAUGGUAUGGUAUCCUUAUCUGAAUACAUAGGGUAAGGAAGACAGACCCAGGGAACUGAAACAUCUAAGUACCUGGAGGAAGAGAAAGCAAAUGCGAUUUCCUGAGUAGCGGCGAGCGAAACGGAACAUAGCCCAAACCAAGAGGCUUGCCUCUUGGGGUUGUAGGACAUUCUAUACGGAGUUACAAAGGAACGAGGUAGACGAAGCGACCUGGAAAGGUCCGUCGUAGAGGGUAACAACCCCGUAGUCGAAACUUCGUUCUCUCUUGAAUGUAUCCUGAGUACGGCGGAACACGUGAAAUUCCGUCGGAAUCUGGGAGGACCAUCUCCCAAGGCUAAAUACUCCCUAGUGAUCGAUAGUGAACCAGUACCGUGAGGGAAAGGUGAAAAGCACCCCGGAAGGGGAGUGAAAGAGAUCCUGAAACCGUGUGCCUACAAAUAGUCAGAGCCCGUUAACGGGUGAUGGCGUGCCUUUUGUAGAAUGAACCGGCGAGUUACGAUCCCGUGCGAGGUUAAGCUGAAGAGGCGGAGCCGCAGCGAAAGCGAGUCUGAAUAGGGCGUUUAGUACGUGGUCGUAGACCCGAAACCAGGUGAUCUACCCAUGUCCAGGGUGAAGUUCAGGUAACACUGAAUGGAGGCCCGAACCCACGCACGUUGAAAAGUGCGGGGAUGAGGUGUGGGUAGCGGAGAAAUUCCAAUCGAACCUGGAGAUAGCUGGUUCUCCCCGAAAUAGCUUUAGGGCUAGCCUUAAGUGUAAGAGUCUUGGAGGUAGAGCACUGAUUGGACUAGGGGUCCUCAUCGGAUUACCGAAUUCAGUCAAACUCCGAAUGCCAAUGACUUAUCCUUAGGAGUCAGACUGCGAGUGAUAAGAUCCGUAGUCAAAAGGGAAACAGCCCAGACCGCCAGCUAAGGUCCCAAAGUGUGUAUUAAGUGGAAAAGGAUGUGGAGUUGCUUAGACAACUAGGAUGUUGGCUUAGAAGCAGCCACCAUUUAAAGAGUGCGUAAUAGCUCACUAGUCGAGUGACUCUGCGCCGAAAAUGUACCGGGGCUAAAUACACCACCGAAGCUGCGGAUUGAUACCAAUGGUAUCAGUGGUAGGGGAGCGUUCUAAGGACAGUGAAGUCAGACCGGAAGGACUGGUGGAGUGCUUAGAAGUGAGAAUGCCGGUAUGAGUAGCGAAAGACGGGUGAGAAUCCCGUCCACCGAAUGCCUAAGGUUUCCUGAGGAAGGCUCGUCCGCUCAGGGUUAGUCAGGACCUAAGCCGAGGCCGACAGGCGUAGGCGAUGGACAACAGGUUGAUAUUCCUGUACCACCUCUUUAUCGUUUGAGCAAUGGAGGGACGCAGAAGGAUAGAAGAAGCGUGCGAUUGGUUGUGCACGUCCAAGCAGUUAGGCUGAUAAGUAGGCAAAUCCGCUUAUCGUAAAGGCUGAGCUGUGAUGGGGAAGCUCCUUAUGGAGCGAAGUCUUUGAUUCCCCGCUGCCAAGAAAAGCUUCUAGCGAGAUAAAAGGUGCCUGUACCGCAAACCGACACAGGUAGGCGAGGAGAGAAUCCUAAGGUGUGCGAGAGAACUCUGGUUAAGGAACUCGGCAAAAUGACCCCGUAACUUCGGGAGAAGGGGUGCUUUCUUAACGGAAAGCCGCAGUGAAUAGGCCCAAGCGACUGUUUAGCAAAAACACAGCUCUCUGCGAAGCCGUAAGGCGAAGUAUAGGGGGUGACACCUGCCCGGUGCUGGAAGGUUAAGGAGAGGGGUUAGCGUAAGCGAAGCUCUGAACUGAAGCCCCAGUAAACGGCGGCCGUAACUAUAACGGUCCUAAGGUAGCGAAAUUCCUUGUCGGGUAAGUUCCGACCCGCACGAAAGGUGUAACGAUUUGGGCACUGUCUCAACCAGAGACUCGGUGAAAUUAUAGUACCUGUGAAGAUGCAGGUUACCCGCGACAGGACGGAAAGACCCCGUGGAGCUUUACUGUAGCCUGAUAUUGAAUUUUGGUACAGUUUGUACAGGAUAGGCGGGAGCCAUUGAAACCGGAGCGCUAGCUUCGGUGGAGGCGCUGGUGGGAUACCGCCCUGACUGUAUUGAAAUUCUAACCUACGGGUCUUAUCGACCCGGGAGACAGUGUCAGGUGGGCAGUUUGACUGGGGCGGUCGCCUCCUAAAGUGUAACGGAGGCGCCCAAAGGUUCCCUCAGAAUGGUUGGAAAUCAUUCGUAGAGUGCAAAGGCAUAAGGGAGCUUGACUGCGAGACCUACAAGUCGAGCAGGGACGAAAGUCGGGCUUAGUGAUCCGGUGGUUCCGCAUGGAAGGGCCAUCGCUCAACGGAUAAAAGCUACCCCGGGGAUAACAGGCUUAUCUCCCCCAAGAGUCCACAUCGACGGGGAGGUUUGGCACCUCGAUGUCGGCUCAUCGCAUCCUGGGGCUGUAGUCGGUCCCAAGGGUUGGGCUGUUCGCCCAUUAAAGCGGUACGCGAGCUGGGUUCAGAACGUCGUGAGACAGUUCGGUCCCUAUCCGUCGUGGGCGUAGGAAAUUUGAGAGGAGCUGUCCUUAGUACGAGAGGACCGGGAUGGACGCACCGCUGGUGUACCAGUUGUUCUGCCAAGGGCAUAGCUGGGUAGCUAUGUGCGGAAGGGAUAAGUGCUGAAAGCAUCUAAGCAUGAAGCCCCCCUCAAGAUGAGAUUUCCCAUAGCGUAAGCUAGUAAGAUCCCUGAAAGAUGAUCAGGUUGAUAGGUUCGAGGUGGAAGCAUGGUGACAUGUGGAGCUGACGAAUACUAAUAGAUCGAGGACUUAACCAU
rfam:Bacillus cereus ATCC 14579, complete genome.